GGGUUGUGAGGUUAAGCGACUAAGCGUACACGGUGGAUGCCCUGGCAGUCAGAGGCGAUGAAGGACGUGCUAAUCUGCGAUAAGCGUCGGUAAGGUGAUAUGAACCGUUAUAACCGGCGAUUUCCGAAUGGGGAAACCCAGUGUGUUUCGACACACUAUCAUUAACUGAAUCCAUAGGUUAAUGAGGCGAACCGGGGGAACUGAAACAUCUAAGUACCCCGAGGAAAAGAAAUCAACCGAGAUUCCCCCAGUAGCGGCGAGCGAACGGGGAGGAGCCCAGAGCCUGAAUCAGUGUGUGUGUUAGUGGAAGCGUCUGGAAAGGCGCGCGAUACAGGGUGACAGCCCCGUACACAAAAAUGCACAUGCUGUGAGCUCGAUGAGUAGGGCGGGACACGUGGUAUCCUGUCUGAAUAUGGGGGGACCAUCCUCCAAGGCUAAAUACUCCUGACUGACCGAUAGUGAACCAGUACCGUGAGGGAAAGGCGAAAAGAACCCCGGCGAGGGGAGUGAAAAAGAACCUGAAACCGUGUACGUACAAGCAGUGGGAGCCUCUUUUAUGGGGUGACUGCGUACCUUUUGUAUAAUGGGUCAGCGACUUAUAUUCUGUAGCAAGGUUAACCGAAUAGGGGAGCCGAAGGGAAACCGAGUCUUAACUGGGCGUUAAGUUGCAGGGUAUAGACCCGAAACCCGGUGAUCUAGCCAUGGGCAGGUUGAAGGUUGGGUAACACUAACUGGAGGACCGAACCGACUAAUGUUGAAAAAUUAGCGGAUGACUUGUGGCUGGGGGUGAAAGGCCAAUCAAACCGGGAGAUAGCUGGUUCUCCCCGAAAGCUAUUUAGGUAGCGCCUCGUGAAUUCAUCUCCGGGGGUAGAGCACUGUUUCGGCAAGGGGGUCAUCCCGACUUACCAACCCGAUGCAAACUGCGAAUACCGGAGAAUGUUAUCACGGGAGACACACGGCGGGUGCUAACGUCCGUCGUGAAGAGGGAAACAACCCAGACCGCCAGCUAAGGUCCCAAAGUCAUGGUUAAGUGGGAAACGAUGUGGGAAGGCCCAGACAGCCAGGAUGUUGGCUUAGAAGCAGCCAUCAUUUAAAGAAAGCGUAAUAGCUCACUGGUCGAGUCGGCCUGCGCGGAAGAUGUAACGGGGCUAAACCAUGCAC
rnacentral:rRNA from 1 species